GUUGGUAGCUCAAUGGUAGAGUGCAUGUUCUGUGUGUACGACGUCCUGGGUUCAAUCCCCAGCAUCU
rnacentral:tRNA from 1 species